rnacentral:rRNA from 1 species
CCAGACUCCUACGGGAGGCAGCAGUGGGGGAUAUUGCACAAUGGGGGGAACCCUGAUGCAGCGACGCCGCGUGGGUGAAGGAGUAUUUCGGCAUGUAAAGCCCUAUCGGCAGGGAAGAAGCAAGACGGUACCUGACUAAGAAGCCCCGGCUAACUACGUGCCAGCAGCCGCGGUAAUACGUAGGGGGCGAGCGUUAUCCGGAUUCACUGGGUGUAAAGGGAGCGUAGACGGCCAAGCAAGCCAGGGGUGAAAGCCCGCGGCCCAACUGCGGGACUGCUUUGGAAACUGCCCGGCUAGAGUGCUGGAGAGGUAAGUGGAAUUCCUAGUGUAGCGGUGAAAUGCGUAGAUAUUAGGAGGAACACCAGUGGCGAAGGCGGCUUACUGGACAGUAACUGACGUUGAGGCUCGAAAGCGUGGGGAGCAAACAGGAUUAGAUACCCCUGUAA